rnacentral:rRNA from 1 species
GAUGAACGCUGGCGGCGUGCCUAAUACAUGCAAGUCGAGCGAACAGAUGAGGAGCUUGCUCCUCUGACGUUAUCGGCGGACGUGUGAGUAACACGUGGAUAACCUACCUAUAAGACUGGGAUAACUUCGGGAAACCGGAGCUAAUACCUAAUAAUAUAUUGAACCUCAUGGUUCAAUAGUUAAAGACGGUUUUGCUGUCACUUAUAGAUGGAUCCGCGCCGCAUUAGCUAGUUGGUAAGGUAACGGCUUACCAAGGCAACGAUGCGUAGCCGACCUGAGAGGGUGAUCGGCCACACUGGACCUGAGACACGGUACAGACUCCUACGGGAGGCAGCAGUAGGGAAUCUUACGCAAUGGGAGAAAGCCUGACGGAGCAAAGCCGCGUGAGUGAUGAAGGUCUUCGGAUCGUAAAACUCUGUUAUUAGGGAAGAACAAAUGUGUAAGUAACUAUGCACGUCUUGACGGUACCUAAUCAGAAAGCCACGGCUAACUACGUG